rnacentral:rRNA from 1 species
GACGAACGCUGGCGGCGUGCUUAACACAUGCAAGUCGAACGGAAAGGCCCUGCUUUUGUGGGGUGCUCGAGUGGCGAACGGGUGAGCAACACGUGAGUAACCUGCCCUUGACUUUGGGAUAACUUCAGGAAACUGGGGCUAAUACCGGAUAGGAGCUCCUGCUGCAUGGUGGGGGUUGGAAAGUUUCGGCGGUUGGGGAUGGACUCGCGGCUUAUCAGCUUGUUGGUGGGGUAGUGGCUUACCAAGGCUUUGACGGGUAGCCGGCCUGAGAGGGUGACCGGCCACAUUGGGACUGAGAUACGGCCCAGACUCCUACGGGAGGCAGCAGUGGGGAAUAUUGCACAAUGGGCGGAAGCCUGAUGCAGCAACGCCGCGUGCGGGAUGACGGCCUUCGGGUUGUAAACCGCUUUCGCCUGUGACGAAGCGUGAGGGACGGUAAUGGGUAAAGAAGCACCGGCUAACUACGU